rnacentral:lncRNA from 1 species
AACAUUCGACCCUUUCACCUUUCCCAGCAAAAUGUGGGUAUUUUUCUCCGGGUUAAUCGAUGCAGCUGCAACAGGAGGGAGUAAUUAUGUGAAAAGGGUAGGGAAAGAUCACCAUAGGUUUAAGAGGUUCACUAAGUGGACAACAGAGGUGCUGUUAAAAUAAAAAUUUAAUCUUGGAACUAAAUUUUUUGAAAUUUCCUAACGUCAUUUUUUCUUUCUUUUUUGUGAAAUUCAGAAGUGCAACAAGCAUUAUCCCCGCUAUCAGCUUUUGAUGUAUGGAGUGAGGCACUCUCCUCCCAUUGAGGAAUCUGUGGGCAGGGCAAGACUUGCUUCUUCUGUUGGAGCAACCACCGUACUUCUGGUGAGCUAAGUUUCUUCCAUUCUCGUUAUUGCAUUUAUUACGGGAACUCCGACUCUACCAAGUGUUAUUUCAUCGAUCUUAUUUCUGGAAAAUGGAGGUAGAAGAACUUUUUGACAACCAGAUACUCCAUAGAUGCUAAAUUUGCAUUUUCUGUGUGGUGAUGUGUAUGAUUGAUUGGAAGUUUUGGAGUAUGUUUGAAUGAGAAUGAUUUAAGUACCUUUUUCAUCAUUGUGCUUUACUGGUGAUAUUGAUUUGCAAGACACAUUGUCAACAGAUUUCAACCAUCUGUUAGCUAAUUUUGCUUUAGGGCUGGCAGUCGUUGGGUUCAAUGUUAACUUUUUUCUUUACCCAUCAAGGUUGGCUGUUGGCACACAAAGCUAUCUCUCUAUCUUGGGUCCUAAACUCUAACAUUCUAACAUUCUUUCUGGUGGAUUAUUUUGGUCAUAUGGAGUGACAAGACUCAUCAUCAUUUUAUGUUUAUACACUAUUGUGAAAGGAGAGAGAAGCUUAAUGACCUGUUUAAGUGUUCCUUAGUCUUAACUCUUAAGUUAGUACAAUACAAUAUCUAGUUAUUCUCUUAUUUGGUCAUGUGGAGUGACAAGACCCAUCAUGUUAAUACUCAACUGUGAAAGGAGAGGGAAGAGAAAAAAACUUCUUAAUGACUUGCUUGACUAACAACGUAUAGGAAUUAUUCCUUAGUUAGUACAAUAUAAUACUUAUGUAGUUAAUCUCUAAUUCUAGCAAGUUAAGUAUUCUUCUAUAAUUGCAUAAUAUUCUGCAGAAUCGUAGAAAAUGUUCUCCAAUUUUCAAAUAUUUAAGUUAAAUGAAUCUAGACACAUAAUAUUAUUUAUGCUCGUCGGCAAUGGGGUGGUUGAGUGAUUGAGGGAUAGAAGUAACAUCAUGAAGAUACCGGGUUUAAAGUCCAGCUACAACAUUCAGUUUGAGACCAUCUUUGUGUGGCAGUUUUAUCCAGCACCUGUGUGUGAGCACGUGAUUUUUGCUCUCACGACAAUUACUCCAAAAGAAAUUAAAAAAUAAAACAAAUUGUCUUUGUGUAUAAUUUUUAGAAUUUGCGUGGCAUUUCGGAUAGUUAUUUGUAGUUUUGUCUGUGAUUGUUUAUUUUUAAUUAAAAAUACAAAAAUAUGUUGCAUGAAUUUAGGAUUUUAUUCUGCUAUUAGGAAUUAAUUAAAUCAUAUUUGGUUGUUUCUAAAAAAAAAAGAAAAAUGAAAAUCACAAAAAUAUUAUUUUUGGUAAUUUUGUCAUUUUUAUUGUUUAAUGGUGUGAUUUUGUUUAAUUAAUAUUUGAUAUUGUGUGUUAAUCAUUGUUAAGAAUCAAUUAAUGUCUGUGUAAUAUAAUUGUUGUUUUAUAAUUUAUUUUAGGAUUUUGGUAAAUUCGGAAUUAAACUAGGAAUUAAAAAGGAAAGGAACAAAAAAUAGAAAAGAAGCUUGGACUGGGCCAUUUCAUUUUGGGCCAAAAUCAGGCUCAAACGAGACCUAUACCCGGUCCAAACCUUCAACUCUCAAAGACGCAUCAAACGACGUCGUUUCGAGACCAGCGAAUCUCGACCAUUCAUCCAUCCUCAUCCAACGGUCCAAGACCUCACCCCAUAACCCGAUCCGUUUUCCCUGGAUCGACCCAGUCCCCCACUGAGACCAAAACGACCCUAUUUUAUAUAAGUGAAGUGAUCCAAAUCGUUGAUCUCAUCAGAUCUAACGGCUUGGAUUCACUCACCCAUCAUAUAUAUAUAUUUUCAAACACACCCCACCCCCCCUAAGCUACCCCCCUCUCUUCGUCUCUCUCAACGAACCAGACGACCCCAAGAACCCUAGCCAGCCACCACCCCUCCCCUUCGCCUGAAACCCGGCGGCGGCAACGCCGGUGACCACCAAAACGACACCCCUGAGCCAUCUCCCCAUCCACAACACGAAUCCAUGAACCAUUUGCCUCGUAUCAUCCCACAUCUUCUCGAAUCUUCAAUCGAAGUUUCGAGCUGACCCUGAAACCACCCCAAUCCACCCCUAAUUAACACCACACCACCACUAGGCUUCCCUCAUCCCUAAACCAUCAACAGAUUCCCUCGAAUCUCGUUGGAUCUUCUCGAAUCUUCGAUCAAAGAUCUCCCCUCCAAGCCCUAGCCUGUCCCCUUGACCCCAGACUAACACCCAAUAAUCUCCUUUACCUCCUCGUCCUUAAUCCCUAACCAAAUUGGCUCGAACAUGAGUAAAAACCGUCGAAUGACGGAUCUAGGGUUCAACGGUUCAAGACGUGUCAAAGCUUCAGGGUCGAUUGGGUUCUAUUCAGUAUUGUAGGCCUAUUUCUCACGAAAUAGACGUAUAAUACUGACUAGGACUCAAGUUCGAAAGGGCAUACUGGUAAAAUCCGAGAAAAGAACAGUAAGUUCUUAAUUUCUUUUGUUUCCUUCUAUAGUUUUGUUUGUCUGUUUUAAAUUGUAUCUUUGUUUUGAUCUAUUUCUUGUCAUUUGUUCAGUACUUCUUUCCUUCUCAUCAGACCGUUUAUUGGGUCCAAGUUCUCUAAUUGUUGGUUAUAUGCUGUAAACUGUUUGGUCAAUUUAUUGAUUAGUUCAUUAUGUGUGAGUUAGUUUAACCUGAUAGUAGUUUUAAUCCUGGUCUUGAUUUCAUAGUCCAUUUCAGUAGGUUUUUUUUUGUUGUUUUGUUUAAAUAAUGUAUGUUAGACUUUCUGGCAUUGGUUCAGGUUUGUCCUAUAUAUGUGAUGUGUGGCUCUUUGUUCUUUGAUGUUCAUCAAUUUUCGUAUAAGUUCAGUAUAUCACAGGAUUUCCUUCACUCUAUUUAACUUAAUUUGGAAUUAUAAAUUAAUUAAUCAUUCCCAUAAUGUGUCACUGGUGAUUGGAAGUUUGACCUGGAUAGUUCAAUAGGGUUGUGUUCUGAUUCAUGGUAAUGCUGUUAUUGGGUCUUCUGUUAAGUAUCAAUGAAUUUUGAUUCAGCUUUAGCUUCAACUUCAAUGUUCUGUUAAGCUCCUUUGUUUGUUGAUGUGAUUUUGGUUUGAAGUCAGUUUAUUUGUUUCAUUUAGGAGUCAAUUUAGUUAGUUAUUAGGUUUUGAAUUGGUUAUAGCUGAUGAUGUAUAGUAGGGAACCCUAGGGUAAAUAACAGUGGGGUCUCAGGGGUAAUUUGGGAAGUUCAAAGGUUUGAAAUGGUCAUUUUAAGUAGUCUGUCCGUUAGAGUACUCAAAUACCUUUAAACUAAUAAAUUAUUUAAGUAAUAGUGGGGGACAAACAUAAUGGGGAGGCAAAGGGAUGGAUUAAACAAAUAGGUACCCAUCACUUUGAUUUAAAAAUGACACAAGACACUUGAUAGGGGGGUGGGCCUAGUUAGCUUUCACUAAUUUGAAAUUAGCAAUAGUAAGUAAUAAUAAAAGGGUAAAUAACCCACAUAGUUAGAAGAAUAUAUUGGCUGGAAAGUAAAAGAGAUAAAGGGGUAGUAAUAAUAGGUUAAAAGUAAAAGAAAAUGGGCUGAAAAAGGGGACUGCCUUUGGUAUAAAUAGAGGUCAUUUGGGACUAAUAAAGAGGACUGAAAAUUGAAAAAGGAUAAAAAGUUCAGAUUGAGAGAAAUUUUUCGGGGGUCAAAAACACAAAGAAUAUUAGUGAUUUUUAAUCAGUCUGUGAGAGUUUGAGUUUGAAGUUUGGUCUUUGAAAUCAAAUUCAGGAAUCAAACUCAAAAGGGUUUAUUCUUAGACAUAUAAGAGGAGUUCACUUUCAGUUUUUUUGGGGUCAGUGUAUGAGAGAUUGCUGCUGUUUUCAAUUGGGGUCCAUUGGUUGAUGUUCAGUUGAGUUUGGGUUUAUUUGAGUAGUGUUGUUCGAUUUCAAAACACUCCUGAUUUCUAUAUGUGUUUCUGGGUUCAAACUUGACAUAAUUUGGGGUUGUUGAGUUCAAAUUGCUGCUGUUAAUCUUCCCUGCCUCGACUGACUCUUUUUCUUCAUUGUAAUCUCGAAUUCAGGUACACUUUUGUCUCCAGUUGAAUGUGGAAUCUUGGUUCAAGUGUAUAAAUGAUCCAGAAAGUCAAUGACAAGGAACUUUGUUAAUCUGAAUCUAUUGAGAAUUAUUGUAGUUUUAAUACUCCAAUUAGAUUACUUAUGUUGUCAAGAACUAUAUUGAACUACUAGACUGAUUUUGGUUAUUUUUGGCUGAUUUUGGGUUAAGUUAACAAUUAGUUUGGUUUGGUUCACAUUGAUAGUGUAAUGCAUGAUUUUAGUAAGCUCCUGGGUGUAUUCGAAUGAACUGUAUGAGACUGUAUUUGGACUAAAAAAAUGGAUUUCGAGUUGGC